rnacentral:rRNA from 1 species
UUUAGAGGAAGUAAAAGUCGUAACAAGGUCUCCGUUGGUGAACCAGCGGAGGGAUCAUUACGGAGUUAUCCAACUCCCAAACCCAUGUGAACAUAUCUCUUUGUUGCCUCGGCGCAAGCUACCCGGGACCUCGCGCCCCGGGCGGCCCGCCGGCGGACAAACCAAACUCUGUUAUCUUCGUUGAUUAUCUGAGUGUCUUAUUUAAUAAGUCAAAACUUUCAACAACGGAUCUCUUGGUUCUGGCAUCGAUGAAGAACGCAGCGAAAUGCGAUAAGUAAUGUGAAUUGCAGAAUUCAGUGAAUCAUCGAAUCUUUGAACGCACAUUGCGCCCCCUGGUAUUCCGGGGGGCAUGCCUGUUCGAGCGUCAUUUCACCACUCAAGCCUCGCUUGGUAUUGGGCGACGCGGUCCGCCGCGCGCCUCAAAUCGACCGGCUGGGUCUUUCGUCCCCUCAGCGUUGUGGAAACUAUUCGCUAAAGGGUGCCGCGGGAGGCCACGCCGUAAAACAACCCCAUUUUCUAAGGUUGACCUCGGAUCAGGUAGGGAUACCCGCUGAACUUAAGCAUAUCAAUAAG